rnacentral:rRNA from 1 species
UACGUAGGGUGCAAGCGUUGUCCGGAAUUAUUGGGCGUAAAGAGCUCGUAGGCGGUCUGUCACGUCGGCUGUGAAAACCCGAGGCUCAACCUCGGGCCUGCAGUCGAUACGGGCAAACUAGAGUGUUGCAGGGGAGACUGGAAUUCCUGGUGUAGCGGUGAAAUGCGCAGAUAUCAGGAGGAACACCGGUGGCGAAGGCGGGUCUCUGGGCAACAACUGACGCUGGAGGAGCGAAAGCGUGGGGAGCGAACAGG